GACGAACGCUGGCGGCGUGCUUAACACAUGCAAGUCGAACGGUGAACCAGAGCUUGCUCUGGGGAUCAGUGGCGAACGGGUGAGUAACACGUGGGCAACCUGCCCCAGACUCUGGGAUAACCUCGGGAAACCGAUGCUAAUACCGGAUACGACCACUUCGGACAUCCGACGGUGGUGGAAAGUUUUUUCGGUCUGGGAUGGGCCCGCGGCCUAUCAGCUAGUUGGUGGGGUAAUGGCCUACCAAGCCGACGAUCCAUAGCUGGUUUGAGAGGAUGAUCAGCCACACUGGGACUGAGACACGGCCCAGACUCCUACGGGAGGCAGCAGUGGGGAAUCUUAGACAAUGGGCGCAAGCCUGAUCUAGCCAUGCCGCGUGAGCGAUGAAGGCCUUAGGGUUGUAAAGCUCUUUCAGUGGGGAAGAUAAUGACUGUACCCACAGAAGAAGCCCCGGCUAACUCCGUGCCAGCAGCCGCGGUAAAAUCACGUGUACUGGGA
rnacentral:rRNA from 1 species